GAUCUCCUGCUCUAGUGAUGGCUCUGUGGGACUCUGGAACCCAGAGGCAGGACAGCAACUUGGCCAGUUCCCAGGUCACCAGAGUGCCGUGAGCGCUGUGGUUGCUGUGGUAAGGCGAUGGACUGCACCAGCAUUCUCUGGGAGGGCCGGGAGGAUCUGGGAGAUGGGAUGCACUAGGUGUCUAAUCUCAGUGGCAAAUAGUAAAACUGUGAUACUUGGACUGGGUUCCAGUGUUGGGCCUGAUGGUCGGUGUGCUGGGUGGCACGUGAAAACACAUCCUCCUAGUGUUAUGGAUUUCUGGCAAGACUUUCCAAACCACUCAACGCCACAGUUCUGCAUCCCUCAGCCUUUUACAUCUUACAAGUUUCUGAUGUUUACCUUUCCCUCUCUGGAGGGGCCAGAG
rnacentral:lncRNA from 1 species